rnacentral:rRNA from 1 species
UACGUAGGGUGCAAGCGUUGUCCGGAAUUAUUGGGCGUAAAGAGCUCGUAGGCGGUCUGUUGCGUCGGCUGUGAAAACCCGAGGCUCAACCUCGGGCCUGCAGCCGAUACGGGCAGACUAGAGUUCGGCAGGGGAGACUGGAAUUCCUGGUGUAGCGGUGAAAUGCGCAGAUAUCAGGAGGAACACCGGUGGCGAAGGCGG